CUUUUUGCAUUUGUAUAGAUGGAAAUUGCAGGGACUGCCAGCCAGAGACUGUCUCAGGUUUGAUCGGAGGUUUGCUUGGGCUAAUAGUUGUUGUUGUUGCUUUAGUGUUUUUCACCUUAAAGAAGAAAAGCUACUCAAUAAUUGGACGAGAGAGUGCUGGUGAAACAGCCAGCAGUGCGACUGGCUUUCAGGAGGAUUUGAUGAUCCCUGCAGAGAAUAUGGUAUCUGUUCCAGAGCAGCUUCUGCAAAUCCUGGAUGAACUGAAUGUUGAGAAUAAAAAGAGGUUCAAGUGGCAUUUGAAACAAUAUGGGCAAAUUCCAUCCUCUCUCAUUGAGAAUGCACAUAACGCUCAUGUAGUGGAUAUGAUGGUGGAGAGGUUUGGACCAAACGAAUCUUUGAAGCUCACAGUGCAGCUCCUGAAGAUGAUGAACCAAAACCAUCUGGCUGAACAGUUAGAAAUAAAAAACUAGAGGAAAGUUUUUGGUUUGGUCUUCACAUGUAUUUUGAGUAUUAUGUUAUGUUGCAUCAGUUUAUUUAAGUAGUAUGUCAAAUAAGUUUAUGCUUCAAAUAUUUAUUCUUAUUUUUGAGGGUUUUAACAGUAAGGCCUCUGUUUUACUCUAGAGACCAAUAAUCUCUCUGUCAUAGAUCCCUGCAAAGAAGAGUAGACUAGGGGAGUAGACUAUAUAAGGACUCUGGGUUUUCAUUUGGGUUAGCAUUCUCUGUGGGAUUGUUCUCUCAGGAGCGGCUCUUGACCAGAUUGUGACAUCUCACUGAUUUUCUUUUUUUUAUACAUUUCUUAAAUCAUGUAGCUUUAAGAUUUUGUUAGUUAUUUUUGUUUGUUAUUCCCUUUGUUUCUUUAUUUUUCCAUAGACUUAUGUUUAUUUGUAGUUAUUGUUACAUUUGUUAAAGAAAAUAAAACAAUCGGCAUUGAUUGAA